rnacentral:rRNA from 1 species
AUGAACGCUGACAGAAUGCUUCACACAUGCCAGUCACCUUGAAUUUGGGUUUUUAACUUCGGUUUGGGUGGCGGACGGGUGAGUAACGCGUAAAGAACUUGCCUCACAGCUAGGGACAACAUUUGGAAACGAAUGCUAAUACCUAAUAUUAUGAUAAUAGGGCAUCCUAUAAUUAUGAAAGCUAUAAGCGCUGUGAGAGAGCUUUGCGUCCCAUUAGCUAGUUGGAGAGGUAACGGCUCACCAAGGCGAUGAUGGGUAGCCGGCCUGAGAGGGUGAUCGGCCACAAGGGGACUGAGACACGGCCCUUACUCCUACGGGAGGCAGCAGUGGGGAAUAUUGGACAAUGGACCGAGAGUCUGAUCCAGCAAUUCUGUGUGCACGAUGAAGUUUUUCGGAAUGUAAAGUGCUUUCAGUUGGGAAGAAACAAAUGACGGUACCAACAGAAGAAGUGACGGCUAAAUACGUG